AUUGAACGCUGGCGGCAGGCCUAACACAUGCAAGUCGAACGAGUGGCGGACGGGUGAGUAAUGUCUGGGAAACUGCCCGAUGGAGGGGGAUAACUACUGGAAACGGUAGCUAAUACCGCAUACCAUCGGAUGUGCCCAGAUGGGAUUAGCUAGUAGGUGGGGUAACGGCUCACAUGGGCGACGAUCCCUAGCUGGUCUGAGAGGAUGACCAGCCAAACGGGAAUUGGGACACGGUCCGGACUCCUACGGGAGGCAGCGGUGGGGAAUAUUGCGCAAUGGGCGCAAGCCUGAUGCGGCCAUGCCGCGGGUGGGAAGAAGGUCUUCGGGUUGUAAAGCACUUUAAGUUGGGAGACGUUACCAGCAGAAUAAGCACCGGCUAACUUCGUGCCAGCCGCCGCGGUAAUUC
rnacentral:rRNA from 1 species